GCUAAGAAUCUUCCGCAAUGGGGGAAACCCUGACGGAGCGACGCCGCGUGGACGAUGGAGGCCGUAAGGUUGUAAAGUCCUUUUCUCGGUGAAGAAUAAGCGGGGGAGUGGAAAGCCCUCGUGAUGACGUUAGCCGAGGAAUAAGCCCCGGCCAAUUACGUGCCAGCAGCCGCGGUAAUACGUAUGGGGCGAGCGUUGUUCGGAGUUAUUGGGCGUAAAGGGCGUGUAGGCGGCGCAUCAAGUCUGGUGUGAAAUCGCCGGGCUCAACCCGGCGCACGCGCUGGAAACUGGUGUGCUUGAGUGCCGAGGGGGAAGCUGGAAUUCCAGGUGGAGGGGUGAAAUCUGUAGAUAUCUGGAAGAACACCGGUGGCGAAGGCGAGCUUCUACUCGAGGACUGACGCUGAGGCGCGAAAGCGUGGGGAGCGAACAGGAUUAGAAACCCUAGUAGUCC
rnacentral:rRNA from 1 species